rnacentral:rRNA from 1 species
GGGUGAGUAAUACAUCGGAACGUGCCCUGUAGUGGGGGAUAACUAGUCGAAAGAUUAAUUAAUACCGCAUACGACCUGAGGGUGAAAGCGGGGGACCGCAAGGCCUCGCGCUACAGGAGCGGCCGAUGUCUGAUUAGCUAGUUGGUGGGGUAAAGGCCUACCAAGGCGACGAUCAGUAGCUGGUCUGAGAGGACGACCAGCCACACUGGGACUGAGACACGGCCCAGACUCCUACGGGAGGCAGCAGUGGGGAAUUUUGGACAAUGGGGGCAACCCUGAUCCAGCAAUGCCGCGUGUGUGAAGAAGGCCUUCGGGUUGUAAAGCACUUUUGUCCGGAAAGAAAUGGCCUGGGCUAAUACCUCGGGUCGAUGACGGUACCGGAAGAAUAAGCACCGGCUAACUACGUGCCAGCAGCCGCGGUAAUACGUAGGGUGCGAGCGUUAAUCGGAAUUACUGGGCGUAAAGCGUGCGCAGGCGGUUUUGUAAGACCGAUGUGAAA